rnacentral:rRNA from 1 species
AUGAACAAGUCCACACUGCAAACGGAGAAGGGAACGAGGAAAACCCUUCUCCGGGGCAGAUGUAGACGUGGUCUCUACCCCCUGUCAUCGGCUCCUUUGAGUUCAAACAAGCAAGCUUUUGGCGUCAAUAAACUGCCCACCGAGAGGUGGCACAGCCGGCUAGGACACCCUUCAUCCACCAUAGUGCGUCAUGUCCUUAGCCAAAACAACAUUCCUUUCUCAAGUAGUGAGUUGAAUAAAGAAGGUGUUUGUGAUGCAUGCCAAAUGGGCAAAAGUCACCAACUAUCUUAUCCUAGUUCAUUAAGUGUUUCCAAAGCUCCUUUAGAGCAAGUGUUUUCCGAUGUAUGGGGGCCUGCCCGUGAUUCUAUCAAUAAGAAAAACUAUUAUGUC